rnacentral:tRNA from 1 species
GUGGUAGUAGCUCAGUUGGUUAGAGCACCGGAUUGUGAUUCCGGGGGUCGCCGGUUCGAGCCCGGUUUACCACCCCA